rnacentral:rRNA from 1 species
CUGUUUAUCAAAAACAUCGCCUCUUGAUCUUAAAUAAGAGGUCCAGCCUGCCCGGUGACAAAGUUUAACGGCCGCGGUACCCUAACCGUGCGAAGGUAGCAUAAUCACUUGUUCUUUAAAUAGGGACUAGUAUCAACGGCAUCACGAGGGUUACACGUCUCCUUUCUCCAAUCAGUGAAACUGAUCUCCCCGUGAAGAAGCGGGGAUAAAACUAUUAGACGAGAAGACCCCAUGGAGCUUUAAGCUCAACUACAACCCUUACAAAAAUAAUCCCUCAUAAUACACAGACCCUGUUUGUUAGCUUUAGGUUGGGGUGACCGCGGAGUAUAAUUUAACCUCCACGACGAAAAGGCAUAAAACCCUUAUCCAAGAGCCACUGCUCUAAGAAUUACUAAAUUAACGUAUAAUGAUCCAAUCUUUGAUCAACGGACCAAGUUACCCUGGGGAUAACAGCGCAAUCCAUUUUUAGAGCCCCUAUCGACAAAUGGGUUUACGACCUCGAUGUUGGAUCAGGGUAUCCUAGUGGUGCAGCCGCUACUAAAGGUUCGUUUGUUCAACGAUUAAAACCCUACGUGAUCUGA